rnacentral:rRNA from 1 species
UACGGAGGGUGCAAGCGUUAUCCGGAUUCACUGGGUUUAAAGGGUGCGUAGGUGGCUUGGUAAGUCAGUGGUGAAAGCCCGGAGCUCAACUCCGGAACUGCCAUUGAUACUGCUUAGCUUGAAUCAGGUCGAGGUGGAUGGAAUAUUACAUGUAGCGGUGAAAUGCUUAGAUAUGUAAUAGAACACCGAUUGCGAAGGCAGUUCACUAGGCCUGUAUUGACACUGAGGCACGAAAGCGUGGGGACCAAACAGG